AUUUAAGUAGUUUAAUAAAAAUAAUAUAUUGUGGUUAUAGAGAAGUAAGGACCUUAAAUU
rnacentral:tRNA from 1 species